UAAGAAGGAAGUAUUCUCUCUUGGUUCAUAGCUAUAUAGGCUAGGUUCUCCUGAUUUAGUUCACCUGCAAAGGACUGAGACAGAAAUUACAUUUGUUAAUAUAAUAUUGGUAUAUUUCUUCCCCCUAUUACAGAAUUGCUAUUUUGUUUGGAUAGGAAAUAUAUAACGAUUCUAACCAUGUUUAAAAGAUUUAUUUUUUUGAAUAGUGAAUAAUCAUACUCAGUGGAAGCCAUCUUUAAAGCUAGUUCAUAGCUAGGAACAAAUGCACCUAUAAAUGUUUCUUAAACCUAGAUUUUCACUUAUUUACCUGGUGCCGCACUUUUUCACUCUGAUUGUUACUAAGCUCUUUACUCACAUUGAGUCUGCCUAAAGGAUAUAAUAUUGGGCUCUCUGAACUGAUAUAAAGGCCCUGUAGACUAGAAACUCUGAAAAUGAAUGACCACACCACUCUUUAAUAAGAGCUGUGUGUUUUGUUCUGAUAUACUAAACAAGGCAUUAGAAAGGUGGAGUAAGUUUAUGAGGCCUAUUUAUCAAGCCGUCAACCGCAAAUACGCCGGAAUUCUGCUGCGCAAUUGUGGCGAGCUUGAUUCGACCUAUUUAUCGAAGCCUACAGACCAGCAAAAGUUGAAAUUUGUGACGUAAUAUAUGAUCCGUCAGUCUCAAUCCGACACAGAUCGAUGCUUACGUUAUUACAGAUGUUCCGAAUACAAAUUCGGCACUAUCUGACACUUUUUGCAAUUUAACAAAUUUCUAACAGGUACGCUCGCCACUAUUCCGGCCCAGCGUACCUGGUUUUCAAUCCGCCACCCUGGAGGCUGUGGAUGCCAUAGGAAUCAAUGGGAGUCUGAAAGCAGCGAAAGCUUAUGUUCGAUGCUGCCAGAUAUCCCAUUGAUUUCUAUGGUAGAAAACAAAUUACGUUUACACCUAACACCCUAACAUAAACCCAUUGUCUAAACACCCCUAGUCUGACGCCCGACAUUGCCACAACAUAAAUAAAUUUAUUAACCCCUAUCCUGCCGCUCCCGGACCCAGCCACAACUGUAAUAAAAUUAUUAACCCCUAAACCCCUGGCCUCGCACAUCACUACCAUUAACUAAACCUAUUAACCCCUAAACCACCAGCCCCCCACAUCACCAUAAACUAAAUUAAGCUAUUAACCCCUAAACCUAACAACCUGCUAACUUUACAUUAAAAUUACCUCAUCCAUAUCUUAUAAUAAAUUAAAACUUACCUUUAGAAUUAAAAUAAACUAUACCAUAUAUACUAUAUAUAUAUAUAUAUAUAUAUAUAAAGAUACCAAGAGAACGAAGAAAAAUUGAUAAUAGAAAGUUGCUUAAAAUUGCAUGCUCUAUCUGAUUCAUGACAAUUUAAUUUUGACUAGACUAUCCCUUUAAUCCCAGCCCUGUAAACUUAAAUUUGCAGUAAACACCUUGGGGCCGACUUAUUAAGGCCCAAAUGGAGCUGAAUGCAGCUGUUUCUGCUCAAGCUUUCAGGAUCGCUGGAAAUAGGAGUUUAGAAGCAGUGGUCUUAAGACCGCUGCUCCUUAACUCAUCCGCCAUCUCUGAGGCAGCGGACAGCAAUCAGCCAGAUCGGAUACGAUCUGGUUGAUUGACACCCCCUGCAAGCAGAGCGGUAUUGCACAAGUAUUUUUACGAGAAAUGCUUGUGCAAUGAUAAAUGCAGACAGCAUAUGCUACUACAGCGGAUCAUGUCCGUCCGCACAAUGAUAGCCCCCUUGUAUUUACAAGACAUUUCUGUUGUUUUGCUAUAGGAUAACAUAUCAGCCAACACUUACCUUAUCUGGAGGAAUCAAUUCAGGUUUGAGUUUGCACACAAGACUAGUCAUGUUAAUUAAGUUAGGAUUAAUUCCAUUGUUUUGCAGUUGUUAUUAGUUAAAGGCAAUUAGGGUGAUAUAUGUAGCAGAGUUAGCCUUGAUAAGUCUACAUUUUCCAGGUUUGACAAUUAGAAUAUCCAUAAUUUUCAGUACUAAAUUACUUGAAAAGGGAGCAAAACAAUUAAAAUAUAUUGCAAUUUUUUUACUAUGCAUAACUAAACAUUGUUAUAUAUUAAAAUCUCAAGAUGUUUACAGUCCCUUUAAGCCUUAUAAACAUAAUUAUCUUUCAUCAGCUGGUAAUUUGUAUAGCGUCGCCAAAUUCUGUAGCGCUGGGUACAAUGAUAGGGGUAUACAAUGACUUGUGAUAAAAUACAAAACAUAACAAAACUAAAUAAAUCUAGUACAGGAGGAAGAGGGCCCUGCUCGGGAGAACUCACAGUCUACAGGUUUUGGGUGCAGAGACAUAAGGGGCAAGAUUACAUAUGCAUAACUGCUGAAACCCGCACCACCCGUAAUUUCGCCAGUGAUUUACGGCACUUUAGAAACUGCCGGGGCCUAAGAAAAUAAAAAAAAAUAUCAAAUCUCCCGUAAAAGUCUAACCCGCCUACCAAAGAUAAACCUGACACGUAAAACCCCUAUAUCCGCAAUCCCCCACAUUGCAACUAAUAAUAAAAGUAUUAACCCCUAAACCAACAACCCCCCACAACGCAAUAUGCCUAAUUAAACUAUUAACCCCUAAUCCGCCAUUUACCCACAUCGCGAUCUACCUAGUAAAAGUAUUAACCCCUAAAUCCUCCAACCCCAACAUCGCAAACUACCUAAUAAAUGUAUUAACCCCUAAUCCACCAUUAACCCACAUCGCAAAGUACCUAUUAAAACUAUUAACCCCUAUUCCGCCAUUAACCCACAUCACAAUAAUCCUAAUAAAACUAUUAACCCCUUAUCCGCCAAACCCCCACAACGCAAGUACCCUAAUUAACCUAUUAAUCCCUAAUCCUCUAAACACCCACAACACAAAUUACUAAUUAAAUAACUUAACUCCCUAACCUAACACCCCCUAAAUUAACCCCAAUUGCCUAAAUUACAUUUAAAAUAAAAAAGCUAACAUUACUUAAACAUAAAAAAAACUAAAAUUAAACUAAUCUAAGAUUACAAAAAAUAGAAAAGUCUAACAUUUCAUAAAUAUAUAUAAUAAACCAAAUUAUCAAAAAUUUUAAAAUUAAACCUAUUCCCUAUGAAAAUAAAAAAAAAACUCCCCAAAAUAAAAACACCCCCUAAUCUAAUGCUAAACUACCAAUAGCCCUUGAAAGGGCUUUUUGUACGGCAUUGCCCUAAGUUAAACAGCACGUUUGCAUUUAAAAAAAAGUCUCCCGUUAACAGUAAAACCCACCACCCACCAAAAUAAAUAAACCUAACACUAAAAAAACUCAACUACCCAUUGCCCCUAAAGGGGCAUUUGUAUGGGCAUUUCCCUUAAAAGGGCAUUCAGCUCUUUUACUUCCCUUAAAAGGGCAUUCAGCUCUUUUAAGAGUGCCCAAUAAAUCCCUAAUCUAAAAAAAAAAAUCUUUUAAAAAAUCCUAUAUCUAACCCCCAAAUAGGUACUCAUCAUUCCUGAAGUCCGGUGGAGAAGGUCCUGUUCCAGGCGGUGAAGUCUUCUUCCAAGUGGCCGACAUCUUCUUCCAAGCGGGGACCACUUCCUUCUUCUUCCGGGACCAAGCCGGCGGGGAGCGAAGAUGAGAAGCAGCAAUGCACUACUGUGAGCUAGCUGAAGUAUUGAAUGGGCCAAUAACACGAGGCAUAUAGGUGUAACCACCAAUCAACACCUCCUGAGCUUACCUAGGUAUCCUUUUCAGCCAAGGAUACCAUGAGAAUAAAACAAAUGAGCUUAUAGAAGUAAAUUGGAACAUUGUUUAAAAUCACAUGCUCUCUCUGAAUCAUUAAAGAAAAAAAAUGGAUUUUAUGUAA